GACGAACCGUGCAAACGUUAUUCGGAAUCACUGGGCAUAAAGGGCGCGUAGGCGGCUUUCUAAGUCAGGGGUGAAAUCCGGCAGCUCAACUGUCGCAGUGCCUUUGAUACUGGAGAGCUCGAGGGAGGUAGGGGUCUGUGGAACUUCCGGUGGAGCGGUGAAAUGCGUUGAUAUCGGAAGGAACGCCGGUGGCGAAAGCGGCUCACUGGACCAUAACUGACGCUGAGGUGCGAAAGCUAGGGUAGCAAACGGG
rnacentral:rRNA from 1 species